UCCCAUACCGUUCUCGUGAUAGUGAGGGAAUUCUCACGAGAUCUCAUGGUUUUAAAAAUGACAGUUUCUUCCUGCGGUCUCUCUUCCCUCCUGCCACCUUGUGAAGAAGGUGCCUGCUUACCCUUCACCUUCUGCCAUGGUUUCCUGAGGCCUCCCAGCCAUGUGGAACUGCAGCAUUGGCCUAUCUUGGACUUUAAUUGAAAGCUGUCUCUCUGGGCAUCACAGAGGUAGCUCCCGCAGCUUCUAGGGACAGGGAUAUGUGGCCAUCUUGUUCAUGUUCAACCAACAAGUUAUAUUUCAAGAUUUGUAGAAACACAAUGAUUGCUUGAUACGUGCAGAAUUAUCAGAGGAGCUCCAGCUAUAAACUGGACAAACGUAAGAGAAUGAUUUUGACUCCAAAGGCCACCAGUGAGUCUUAGGAAACUGAACGCAGUGGACUAUGCCAUAGAUCCUGGAGCUGCGGUACCUGGAUUAUAGACCUGAUACAAAAGAGACUUCAUAAUAGCACAUUUUUUUCAUUAAGCUAAAGUGCUUAAGAUGAAUUCAUGGUGGAAACCUCAUUAAAGGCCAAUAAAGAAAGAA